UUGUUCUGCCAAGAGCAUCGCAGCGUAGCUAAGUUUGGAAAGGAUAAACGCUGAAAGCAUCUAAGCGUGAAGCCAACUCUAAGAUGAAUCUUCUCUAAGCUCUCUAGAAGACUACUAGUUUGAUAGGCUGGGUGUGUAAUGGAUGAAAGUCCUUUAGCUGACCAGUACUAAUAGAGCGUUUGGCUUAUCUUU
rnacentral:rRNA from 1 species